rnacentral:misc_RNA from 1 species
AGACUCAAUCCCUCGGGUUUCCGAGGAGAUUGGACUUGGGUGUUGCCGCUCUGCCGGCUCGCCUUAAAAGACUUAGCGGGAUAGCACCGUAGUCGGCAUAAUAAGUUUCGUCGGUGAAGGUUGUGAUAACUACUUACAAUCGCCCUCGGUCAAUUUUUGA